UCGGAUAUGGUGUAACGGCUAACAUUGCUGCCUCUCAUCUUGCGAGAGUUUGGUCCGCAGCAGCUCGGGGUUCGAUUCCCCGUAUCCGAA